rnacentral:rRNA from 1 species
GUGGGGAAUAUUGGGCAAUGGGCGCAAGCCUGACCCAGCAACGCCGCGUGAGGGAAGAAGGUUUUCGGAUUGUAAACCUCUGUCGCAGAAGACGAAGGAAGUGACGGUAAUCUGUGAGGAAGCCCCGGCUAACUACGUGCCAGCAGCCGCGGUAAUACGUAGGGGGCGAGCGUUGUCCGGAAUUACUGGGCGUAAAGGGAGCGUAGGCGGUUAAUUAAGUUAGAUGUGAAAUACCCGGGCUUAACUUGGGGGGUGCAUCUAAUACUGGUAAACUAGAGUACAGGAGAGGAAAGCGGAAUUCCUAGUGUAGCGGUGAAAUGCAUAGAUAUUAGGAGGAACAUCGGUGGCGAAGGCGGCUUUCUGGACUGACACUGACGCUGAGGCUCGAAAGCGUGGGGAGCAAACAGGAUUAGAAACCCUAGUAGUCC